rnacentral:lncRNA from 7 species
UUGUAGUGAGCGAGACCGCUGCAUUCCAAACUCAAUAUAUAUACUGCCUGUAACAGUAUUAUUCUUAUUACAUCACUUGGAGGACCAUUAAUCUGAGACAUCUUGGCAGCAGCAGCAGCAGCUAGCUAGCCAGCCAAGAACAUCGUCCCGUUUGCAUUGGACGCAUCCUCUCAAAACAGGAGCAAGGGGGAGAAGAGAACGGGGGGAGAGGGGAGAGAGAAUGAAAAAUAAUACAGCUAGCUAGCUAGGAGAUCUAUAGAUUAGUAGUAGUAGCCGGCACUAGUACGUUAAGAUACCUAGAGAUAUUUUUUAUAUAUAUCUCGGACCAUGAAGCCUCAAUUCCCCACAACAACAGCUCAAAACCAUCUGCGUCGUCGUCUCUUUUCCUCCUGGUGCUCAGCUCAGCUCAGCUCAUAUGGACCGAGACCGAGCAAGAGCGGAGAGUUCCAGCCG